rfam:Gossypium hirsutum cultivar TM-1 chromosome 2, whole genome shotgun sequence
AUCUCAUGAUGAGGACACUUACGAUGUAACUCCUUGAAUCUUCCCUACGCCUCGUACAAGGAUUCAUCAUCCAAUUGUGAAAAAGUGGUUGUCUUAUUUUGCAACU